GGCUGAAAAAUUUACUGCCUUCAGUGCAGAGUCAAUUAUUCUUUUGCAUUUGUAUAGCAAAUGUGGGAGAUGGCUUGAAUCAGUGCUGAGACUGAAAGAGCUUUAGACAGUUUGUCCCUGAGGUUCUGCAAGAUUUCAGUGCCAGGGAAGUCAGGCCUCUGGGCUGAAGUAACUCUCCUGCGACACGUCCAGGAUGCAUAAAACAAGCAUGAGACAGAUGUCAAUGACAUGCAGGUGAUCCACCCUCCAGGCCUGAUGUUAAAUAUACCCCUGUAAUACCGAACACCAGGGUGGCAGGUGUCUGUCUUGCAACUUGCUGUAAUGAGUGAGGAAAAUGCUUCAAAAGGUGUAUGGCUGUUACUCUCAGGAAGAGAAGUUCUGCAUUAUAAAAUCCCUG
rnacentral:lncRNA from 1 species